UCCUCUGUGGCGCAAUUGGCAGCGCGUCUGACUGUUAAUCAGGAGGUUCGUGGUUCGAACCCACGCGGAGGAG
rnacentral:tRNA from 2 species